GACGAACGCUGGCGGCGUGCUUAACACAUGCAAGUCGAACGAAGUGGCGAACGGGUGAGUAACGUGUAAUCAACCUGCCCGUCAGAGGGGGACAACAGUUGGAAACGACUGCUAAUACCCCAUACUGAAGGAGGGGAUUGCGUCUGAUUAGCUAGUUGGAGGGGUAACGGCCCACCAAGGCGAUGAUCAGUAGCCGGGUGUGGCGGAUUGACGGCCAAAUUGGGACGUAGACACGGCCCAGACUCCUACGGGAGGCAGCCAUGGGGAAUCUUCCGCAAUGGACGGAAGUCUGACGGAGCAACGCCGCUUGGGUGAUGACGGCCUUCGGGUUGUAAAGCUCUGUUAUUCGGGACGCGGUACCGGAAUAGAAAGCCACGGCUAACUACGUGCCAGCAGCCGCGGUAAUUC
rnacentral:rRNA from 1 species